rnacentral:rRNA from 1 species
UAAUAGAUACCCGGGUAGUCCACGCCCUAAACGAUGCGAACUGGAUGUUGGGUACAUUACGGUACUCAGUGUCGAAGCUAACGCGUUAAGUUCGCCGCCUGGGGAGUACGGUCGCAAGACUGAAACUCAAAGGAAUUGACGGGGGCCCGCACAAGCGGUGGAGUAUGUGGUUUAAUUCGAUGCAACGCGAAGAACCUUACCUGGCCUUGACAUCUGUCGAAUCCUGCAGAGAUGCGGGAGUGCCGCAAGGAACGACAAGACAGGUGCUGCAUGGCUGUCGUCAGCUCGUGUCGUGAGAUGUUGGGUUAAGUCCCGCAACGAGCGCAACCCUUGUCCCUAGUUGCCAGCACGUAAUGGUGGGAACUCUAGGGAGACUGCCGGUGACAAACCGGAGGAAGGUGGGGAUGACGUCAAGUCCUCAUGGCCCUUACGGCCAGGGCUACACACGUACUACAAUGGUCGGUACAGAGGGUUGCGAAGCCGCGAGGUGGAGCCAAUCCCAGAAAACCGAUCCCAGUCCGGAUCGGAGUCUGCAACUCGAC